rnacentral:rRNA from 1 species
AGAGUUUGAUCCUGGCUCAGGACGAACGCUGGCGGCGUGCUUAACACAUGCAAGUCGAGCGGAAAGGCCCUUCGGGGUACUCGAGCGGCGAACGGGUGAGUAACACGUGAGUAACCUGCCCCUGACUCUGGGAUAAGCCUGGGAAACCGGGUCUAAUACCGGAUAUGACACUCCUCCGCAUGGUGUGGGUGUGGAAAGUUUUUUCGGUUGGGGAUGGGCUCGCGGCCUAUCAGCUUGUUGGUGGGGUGAUGGCCUACCAAGGCGACGACGGGUAGCCGGCCUGAGAGGGCGACCGGCCACACUGGGACUGAGACACGGCCCAGACUCCUACGGGAGGCAGCAGUGGGGAAUAUUGCGCAAUGGGCGGAAGCCUGACGCAGCGACGCCGCGUGGGGGAUGACGGCCUUCGGGUUGUAAACCUCUUUCAGCAGGGACGAAGUUGACGUGUACCUGUAGAAGAAGCGCCGGCUAACUACGUGCCAGCAGCCGCGGUAAUACGUAGGGCGCGAGCGUUGUCCGGAAUUAUUGGGCGUAAAGAGCUCGUAGGUGGCUUGUUGCGUCUGCCGUGAAAGCCCGUGGCUUAACUACGGGUCUGCGGUGGAUACGGGCAGGCUAGAGGCUGGCAGGGGCAAGCGGAAUUCCUGGUGUAGCGGUGAAAUGCGCAGAUAUCAGGAGGAACACCGGUGGCGAAGGCGGCUUGCUGGGCCAGUUCUGACGCUGAGGAGCGAAAGCGUGGGGAGCGAACAGGAUUAGAUACCCUGGUAGUCCACGCUGUAAACGUUGGGCGCUAGGUGUGGGGGUCUUCCACGAUUCCU